GAGUUUGAUCGUGGCUCAGGAUGAACGCUGGCGGCGUGCUUAACACAUGCAAGUCGAACGAAGCAUUGGAGAACGGAGAUUUCGGUUGAAGUUUUCCUUUGACUGAGUGGCGGACGGGUGAGUAACGCGUGGGUAACCUGCCCUGUACAGGGGGAUAACAGUUAGAAAUGACUGCUAAUACCGCAUAAGCGCACAGCUUCGCAUGAAGCGGUGUGAAAAACUGAGGUGGUACAGGAUGGGCCCGCGUUGGAUUAGCUAGUUGGCGGAGUAACGGCCCACCAAGGCGACGAUCCAUAGCCGGCCUGAGAGGGUGAACGGCCACAUUGGGACUGAGACACGGCCCAAACUCCUACGGGAGGCAGCAG
rnacentral:rRNA from 1 species